AGGAUGAACGCUAGCUACAGGCUUAACACAUGCAAGUCAAGGGGAAACGACAUCGAAAGCUUGCUUUUGAUGGGCGUCGACCGGCGCACGGGUGAGUAACGCGUAUCCAACCUGCCCACCACUUGGGGAUAACCUUGCGAAAGUAAGACUAAUACCCAAUGAUAUCUCUAGAAGACAUCUGAAAGAGAUUAAAGAUUUAUCGGUGAUGGAUGGGGAUGCGUCUGAUUAGCUUGUUGGCGGGGUAACGGCCCACCAAGGCAACGAUCAGUAGGGGUUCUGAGAGGAAGGUCCCCCACAUUGGAACUGAGACACGGUCCAAACUCCUACGGGAGGCAGCAGUGAGGAAUAUUGGUCAAUGGACGAGAGUCUGAACCAGCCAAGUAGCGUGCAGGAUGACGGCCCUAUGGGUUGUAAACUGCUUUUAUAAGGGAAUAAAGUGAGUCUCGUGAGAUUUUUUGCAUGUACCUUAUGAAUAAGGACCGGCUAAUUCCGUGCCAGCAGCCGCGGUAAUACGGAAGGUCCGGGCGUUAUCCGGAUUUAUUGGGUUUAAAGGGAGCGUAGGCCGGAGAUUAAGCGUGUUGUGAAAUGUAGACGCUCAACGUCUGCACUGCAGCGCGAACUGGUUUCCUUGAGUACGCACAAAGUGGGCGGAAUUCGUGGUGUAGCGGUGAAAUGCUUAGAUAUCACGAAGAACUCCGAUUGCGAAGGCAGCUCACUGGAGCGCAACUGACGCUGAAGCUCGAAAGUGCGGGUAUCGAACAGGAUUAGAUACCCUGGUAGUCCGCACGGUAAACGAUGGAUGCCCGCUGUUGGUCUGAAUAGGUCAGCGGCCAAGCGAAAGCAUUAAGCAUCCCACCUGGGGAGUACGCCGGCAACGGUGAAACUCAAAGGAAUUGACG
rnacentral:rRNA from 1 species